rnacentral:lncRNA from 1 species
AGCCUGUGGAAGAACAGCUUAAGGCCACUCAGUGAUUGGUUGUUCCUAUCCAUUCAGCCUCCUGAGCAGAGGGAGCUGCAAACCAGACCUCAGUGGUUGGCUAAGUGCGCCAGUCCACAGUAAGGAACGACUGAGUAGGGACAGAGGACACUUGCACAACUCAGGACCAGGCUCUUCCCUCAGGUUGAGUAGCAGUGAGCUCAGCAGCUAAAGCAGUCCACCCACCUUCAAAUUCCUCCUUGUUACAGCCUUUUCAGCAGCGGCCCCUCUUUCUUUCCAAUCUUCUGGAGGCAGGAUCUCCACGGAAGGAGAGAUGAGGUGUGGCCUCCUGCAGGAGUUCACAGGGUGGCGGCGCCACGCAUGCUCAGAACUUCCCUAGGCCUGUAUUUACCACCUCAGACCCGCUGAGUGAGCUCCCUUAUUGUGUCACGGGAUGGCAAUGCCCACAUAGCACAGAGGAGAGUCUGUGCUACCCAGAAUGAUGGUGGGCAGGUUAACGUAAGACAUCUCCGUGAGAGGCUGGUGGUCGGCCCUGGAAUCGGUAAGCACCAGAAGACGCAACUCCAGGAGGGCUGCGCAGAUACGGUGCACGAAGCUUCCGGGGAGCAAAGCAGCCAACAACAGGAGUGGCUCCAGCAGCAGCAGCAAACGUCAGCCCAGCUCCGUGGCCCGUGUUCCUGGAGGAUAUGAUACUGACACCAGCUGGGUUUUCAGUAGCGACAAUGGCAGGAGCUGCCGGCAGAAGCUUCUCCCAAGUCUCUUCAGAUUAAUAAGAAGGAUUUGAAGUCAGUUGCACAAAUAUCAGACUGAAGAUGCCUGGCUUGAAAGCGGUUACUGCUGAUGCCUAAGGACAGUCUCAGUUUGUGGAGAAUCCUGUGCUUUCCAACCUUGACCUCACUUCGUUCUUACAGUAAACUUUGAUUCAUGUCCACCUUGCAACAAAUGUAUGAAGGGGCAGGAAUUGCAAGCAAGGAUGACAAAAUAAGAAGCUUUAGACAUCCCUACUACAAGGGUAUUAGCAAUCAUUUGGACCACAACAACUGGAAGGGUUCAGUGACUUGCCUGAGAUCACAUACCCAGCAAGUUGUCUGGAACCCACUAUGCAACACUGGAGCCAUACUCUCCAAGCAUUUCACUGCCGUACCUCCAUUCCAGAUGUUCCGAAUAUUGGAGACAGACGUUUAUUUUAUUUCCUUGGUUCCCAUUUCACAUGAAGCUUUUGCACAAAGAAGGGAGCAGCGAUGGAGCAGAAAGAUAUGUGGAUGA